rnacentral:rRNA from 1 species
GUGAGGAAUUUUCCGCAAUGGGCGAAAGCCUGACGGAGCAAUGCCGCGUGAAGGAUGAAGGCCUAUGGGUUGUAAACUUCUUUUCUCAGAAAAGAAUUAUGACGGUAUCUGAGGAAUAAGCAUCGGCUAACUCUGUGCCAGCAGCCGCGGUAAGACAGAGGAUGCAAGCGUUAUCCGGAAUGAUUGGGCGUAAAGCGUCUGUAGGUUGUUUAAAAAGUAUUCUGUCAAAGAUUAGGGCUUAACCCUAGAUAGGCAGAAUAAACUUUUAAGCUAGAGUUUGGUAGAGGCAGAGGGAAUUCCCGGUGGAGCGGUGAAAUGCGUAGAUAUCGGGAGGAACACCAAAGGCGAAGGCACUCUGCUGGGCCAAUACUAACACUGAGAGACGAAAGCGAGGGGAGCAAAUGGGAUUAGAAGCCCUAGUAGUCC